UCAGGUCUCCCCUGAGACUUCUCUAGGCUGAACAGCCCCAGCUCUCUCAGCCUAUCCUCAUAGGGAAGGUUCCAUACCUUGGAUCAUUUUUGUGGCUCUUCUCUGGAUGCACUCCAAAAGGUCAGUGUCUCUCCUGUCCCAAGGACUCCAUACCUGGAAGUACCACUCCAGAUGAGGUCUCACCAGGGCAGGAUCACCUCCCUCACCCAGAUGGCAUGCUUCUUUUGAUGCAGCCCAGGAUACUGCUGGCAUUCUGGGCUGCAAGAACAUGUUACUGGUACAUACAGCUCACCAUCCACUAGUACCAGGACCAGGACCAGUGCCAGUAUCAGUACUUUUUUCUUUUUUUUUCCUCUUUCCUUCUCUCUUUCAAUAGAUGGUUUCUUACUGUAAAGCAAACAGAGGCGAUGACAGAGCCUUUAUUUGAGAUACAAGUGCUACAGAACAGAGGAAUUAACUCAUCCCUCCCAGCAACAGUUUGGAAAAAUGGAUGUUUUGAGGACAUAUCUUAAAAAGGAUCAGAUCCUGUGAUGGUGAACUUCAUUUAAAAAAAAUCUGCAAUCUGUAUCUAAGCAAUUUCCUGUUAUUAUCAUAAUCCAAUUCAUAUCUCAAAUGUACUAGCAUGAGUAUUUUCUGAUCAACAAACUGUUUAUCAGAGAAUACCAUGUGUCAAAUUAAACUGGAAGACUCAGGAACAGAGAAACUACAUUAAGCCAACAAUACUUGGCUUUCUUUUUUCAACAAGAUUUUCAAUCAUUCGUCUUGAUCAUAAGCUAAUACUCCCAGCUGCUUCAAAUCUUCACAGUUGUCUGUUUAGAAAUCGCAGAACUGAUACCUAGAUCAUUGACAUUGUUGGCUUUUGAAUCAGGUCCUACAUGUGAAGGAAGUAUGUAUAAACAGAUGCCAGUACUAUUAACAGAACUGGAUAAUGUCUGUGCAAUAAUGCAUAGAACUUUCGUUAACAUGUUAUACAAUUUUGACUUCUAUACUUACUUAAUACUUAAUGUCUGCUUCCACCAUUUUCAAGUCUUUGUGUCAACCUUUUCUCCUUCUAGUGUUAUGUCUUUUAACAUGUGAAAUAAAAUCCAGAUUUUCUGCUG